rnacentral:rRNA from 1 species
UACGUAGGGUGCAAGCGUUGUCCGGAAUUAUUGGGCGUAAAGAGCUCGUAGGCGGUUUGUUGCGUCGGCUGUGAAAUCCCGAGGCUCAACCUCGGGUCUGCAGUCGAUACGAGCAAACUAGAGUGUUGCAGGGGAGACUGGAAUUCCCGGUGUAGCGGUGAAAUGCGCAGAUAUCGGGAGGAACACCAGUGGCGAAGGCGGCGCUCUGGGCCGGAACUGACGCUGAGGAGCGAAAGCGUGGGUAGCAAACAGG